rnacentral:tRNA from 9 species
CGGGCUAUAGCGCAGUUUGGUAGCGCGCCUGCUUUGGGAGCAGGAUGUCGCCGGUUCAAAUCCGGCUAGCCCGACCG